rnacentral:rRNA from 1 species
UACGGGGGGGGCAAGCGUUGUUCGGAAUUACUGGGCGUAAAGGGCGCGUAGGCGGUUUGCUAAGUUGGAUGUGAAAACUCUGGGCUUAACCCAGAGCCUGCAUCCAAAACUAGCAGGCUAGAGUUCUGGAGGGGAUAGCGGAAUUCCUGGUGUAGCGGUGAAAUGCGUAGAUAUCAGGAGGAACACCGGUGGCGAAGGCGGCUAUCUGGACAGAAACUGACGCUGAGGCGCGAAAGCGUGGGGAGCGAACAGG